rnacentral:antisense_RNA from 1 species
GGGUGCUCAGGAUCUUUUGGUUCUGAGUAUUGCCAGGGCCGAAAGAGAAAGAGCCCCACCGGAAUAGUCAUUAACUACUGGUGAGGCCACUCUCAUGCCCAAGAAACAUGAAGGUAGCCUUUUACCUGCCGCGAGGCAAGGAUAAGGAGGCCAUGAUG